CCUAAACUUUCUCUAUGCCUUCCACUUGCUAAAAUUAUACAUAGGCUUUGUUAAGUGAGCUGUGUGAUGCGCCAGAAAGCAGGGAAGGCGGGCUAAGAAAGAUGCAUUUGAAAGUGUGCCAAAAGAAGCUCGGGGAGAUUUGACAUCAGAUUUUGGAUGACGGGAAACAUGCAUUCAAAAGCAAGGCGUUGUUUGGUUUUUACGGAAAUUCUCUUUCUGCUCCUGAAAUCCGGGAUCCUUCUGUGCAGUGCUGAGAAGAUCACCCAAGAACCCUUCAUGGUUGGAUCAGAUGGAAAAGAGGUGAAUCUGUCUUGCAUUCACCCCUCGGCUGAAUCAUCCACGGAUAGCAUCUUUUGGUACCGGCAAUUUCCUAACCAGGGUCCUGAGUUUGUUGUGUCAGGAUACCGUGGAGAAGCAAGGAGUAGCAACCUAAAGGAUGUCUUAUUGUUGAUCUCUGGAGAUCGAAAAUCCAGCAAUUUGUCCUUUUCCAGAGCGACCUUGGAGGACACUGCGAUGUACUACUGUGCUCUGAGUGACACAGUGAGACAUCCUGGUGUCUUUGCUGUGCAGGAACCAUGAACGAAGGUGCUGCAUUUGAUGCAGGGAAGAUCAGGCCUUUAAAAACAUCUGUAGUUGAAGGAGAGGUUCUUCACUUGACUUGAUGGACAUUUAGGACAUAAGGUCCACAUCACAAACUUGG